rnacentral:rRNA from 1 species
UACGGGGGGGGCAGGCGUUGUUCGGAAUUACUGGGCGUAAAGCGCGCGUAGGCGGCUUUGCAAGUCGGGUGUGAAAUCCCCAGGCUUAACCUGGGAACUGCAUUCGAGACUGCAUUGCUAGAGUAUGGGAGAGGGAAGUGGAAUUUCCGGUGUAGCGGUGAAAUGCGUAGAUAUCGGAAGGAACAUCAGUGGCGAAAGCGACUUCCUGGACCAAUACUGACGCUCAUGUGCGAAAGCGUGGGGAGCAAACAGG